AUUGAACGCUGGCGGCAUGCUUUACACAUGCAAGUCGAACGGUAACAGGCCGCCAGGUGCUGACGAGUGGCGAACGGGUGCGUAAUGCAUCGGAACGUGCCCAGUCGUGGGGGAUAACUACUCGAAAGAGUAGCUAAUACCGCAUACGAUCUAUGGAUGAAAGCGGGGGACCGUAAGGCCUCGCGCGAUUGGAGCGGCCGAUGUCAGAUUAGGUAGUUGGUGGGGUAAAGGCUCACCAAGCCAACGAUCUGUAGCUGGUCUGAGAGGACAACCAGCCACACUGGGACUGAGACACGGCCCAGACUCCUACGGGAGGCAGCAGUGGGGAAUUUUGGACAAUGGGCGCAAGCCUGAUCCAGCAAUGCCGCGUGCAGGAAGAAGGCCUUCGGGUUGUAAACUGCUUUUGUACGGAACGAAACGGCUCUGGUUAAUACCCGGGGCUAAUGACGGUACCGUAAGAAUAAGCACCGGCUAACUACGUG
rnacentral:rRNA from 1 species